rnacentral:rRNA from 1 species
UACGUAGGGGGCAAGCGUUGUCCGGAAUCAUUGGGCGUAAAGAGCGCGUAGGCGGUCCGGUAAGUCCGCUCUGAAAGUCCGGGGCUCAGCCCCGGGAGGCGGGCGGAAACUGUCAGGCUCGAGUCCGGAAGAGGCGAGUGGAAUUCCUGGUGUAGCGGUGAAAUGCGCAGAUAUCAGGAGGAACACCAAUGGCGAAGGCAGCUCGCUGGGACGGUACUGACGCUGAGACGCGAAAGCGUGGGGAGCAAACAGG